rnacentral:rRNA from 1 species
CUCCCAACCCUUAUGUGAACCGUACCUAUCGUUGCUUCGGCGGGAACGCCCCGGCGCCCUGCGCCCGGAUCCAGGCGCCCGCCGGAGACCCCAAACUCUUGUGUUUUUUUCAGUAUUCUCUGAGUGGCAAACGCAAAAAUAAAUCAAAACUUUUAACAACGGAUCUCUUGGCUCUGGCAUCGAUGAAGAACGCAGCGAAAUGCGAUAAGUAAUGUGAAUUGCAGAAUUCAGUGAAUCAUCGAAUCUUUGAACGCACAUUGCGCCCGUUAGCAUUCUAGCGGGCAUGCCUGUCCGAGCGUCAUUUCAACCCUCAGGGUCCCCGUUCCGGCGGGGAACCUGGUGUUGGGGAUCGGCCCGCCCCGCGCGGCGCCGUCCCCCAAAUUCAGUGGCGGUCUCGCUGCAGCCUCCCCUGCGUAGUAGUUACAACCUCGCAUCGGAGCUCAGCGCGGCCACGCCGUAAAACCCCCGACUUUCUGAACGUUGACCUCGGAUCAGGUAGGAAUACCCGCUGAACUUAAGCAUAUCAAUAA